AAGCUUACCAGUCUGUCUUGGUAAAAUUAACAAUAAUUGGUGAAAAAAGUGAGAUGGUAAAGGUACCAACGGACCUUGGUAAAACGCCGAGAGUUUUUUUUUCAGUGGCUGUUUGAUCCACUGUUUGGUAGACGUAAAAAGAGAUCUUCGAACAUCUUUUUUUCAUGUUUCCUUAACUUUAACUUUUUAUUAAGGGAACUCUUUAUACAGAAUUACAUCUUAUGUUUAUAUAUAAUAUUUGCUACACUAUUUACAAUUUUUUCGAGUCAUUCAGGAAUACCGAGAAUUGUGAGACAGAGCAAUCGAAUGAACUCAUAAUAUUUACAUAUAAACAUUUAAACAUGUUAAUUAAUCUUCAUAUGGGUGGCAAUGUUGAGAGCACUCACUAGAGUACUCAAAUCCGAAAACAUACCAUUUUAGUGAUAUGAAGUAGGUUGAAAAUUCAGAAUUUUUCAGCGCCAAACUGGAACUAAAGACACAACAGGAAAAGCAAAACAUUUUUAUUGCACAUGUCGCUUCAAACACAAAAAUCAUACAACAUUAUAUACAAUAUGAAACAUUGAACCCGUUUUUUUUUUAAAAACGGAGUUCACCUUGCAGAAAGAGUAGAUUCGGCUCCACAGUCAUAUCACUCGGGUUUUGAGCUUUGAUGGUUUCAGAGUAAAAAAUGUUGUCCAAAAAGAAAAAUGCGAUUCCUCCAUUCUACUGUUUUCAAUAUUUGUCUUCUAAGAAGAUUAAAUUUUGCAAGACAAUUAAUCAGUGUUCAUCCUUUAAUAUUUAAACGACCUGGUAGACCAAAAAUAUCAAUGGAAACUCAAAAUGAAAGAAUGAAAAAUUAUCGUGAAAAUCAGAUGUUCUUGUAACACCGGGUUACGAGUGGGGAAGAAAUACAAACCCUGGUAUUUUAAGUCACAGCGUUUGUACUGCCAACGGCAAAAAACUGAGUUUAUUGUGAGGUUUUCCUUAAUAGCUUAAUAGCUUUGUCAAACAAAAUGACAACCCUAAUAAUGUAUUUACUCCCUAUCUAUGUAUUGAAAAUUUUAUUAGAUAGAAAGACGGGCUCACAGGGUAAAGGACGAGGGAUUCCCUAAAUUACGGCCUGAAAUUGAUAUAAUUCACCUCCAUUUGAAAUAGUUGUAGUAUUACCAUUAUCUUAGAAAUGCAACUUUUGAGUCGCGUCUUUUAUUUCAAUCCUGUCCUUGUGCAUAAAAAUCUAAUUGCUGAGCUCUUCUCUAAUACCUACGUAUUAGAGACCUACGCUUUCCCGUUUUUCUUUUUUUUUUGAGUCAGGACUCUAGAACCAAGAGAUUCUUUUUUCUAGUGCAGUAUAGUGAUCUACUCUGCCGUGCUAAGGAAGAACGCCGUAUGAACAUUCGAGAGUUGCCAAAUUUCCCUUGAUAAAACAUGUAUUUGUUACAACAUUCAUGCAUACUUUUCUUUGAAAUUUUCAGAUUCUUUUCAUUAAAUUGCGUACAAAAUUGUCUGACAUUUUUUGAAAAUAAUAUUUGCAAUUUUCCCAGUGAAUCUGGUUUUCAUCGGAGGAAACUUGGCGACGGCUGAU
rnacentral:lncRNA from 1 species